UUGGUUCUCCCGCAACGCUAACUUGUUAACUCGGUCAGGUCCGGAAGGAAGCAGCCAUAGCAGGGGUCGUGUGUGCCGGGAUGUCGCUGG
rnacentral:SRP_RNA from 1 species